GAUGAACGCUGGCGGCGUGCCUAACACAUGCAAGUCGAGCGAGAAUUCUUUACUUGAUUCUUCGGAUGAUUUUAAAGAAGGAAAGCGGCGGACGGGUGAGUAACGCGUAGGCAACCUGCCCUUUGCAGAGGGAUAGCCUCGGGAAACCGGGAUUAAAACCUCAUAAUGCGACUGAAAGACAUCUUCCGGUCGCCAAAGAUUUAUCGGCAAAGGAUGGGCCUGCGUCUGAUUAGCUAGUUGGUGGGGUAACGGCUCACCAAGGCGACGAUCAGUAGCCGACCUGAGGGGGUGAUCGGCCACAUUGGAACUGAGACACGGUCCAAACUCCUACGGGAGGCAGCAGUGGGGAAUAUUGCACAAUGGGGGAAACCCUGAUGCAGCAACGCCGCGUGAACGAUGAAGGUCUUCGGAUCGUAAAGUUCUGUCCUUGGGGAAGAAUACAUGACGGUACCCUUGGAGGAAGCCCCGGCUAACUACGUGCCAGCCGCCGCGGUAACAC
rnacentral:rRNA from 1 species